UCCCUCAAUUUCAUGCUCAGUGAGCUCGCU
rnacentral:piRNA from 1 species